AGUAGUUCAAAACCAAAUUUAAUUACCAAUACUCAACUGCAACAAAUUAUUCUGCUCCAUACUGGACAUUUAUCAUGUCUGCAUUAAUGACUUAUUCUUCCAGUGGAAGUAAGACUUCAUUUCAUCUUCAGAAAUCCGGACAAGAUUAAAAGGUACAUCCCAGGUUCCACAACAAUCACAAUCACAAUAUUGGUCCUCUUCACUGACAGUCCCAUUGGUUGGAUGCUGGUCACUGUGGCUGUCUACCUGAGGAGAUGAAGGCCAAAAAAAUCCAGAAGCAGCAAUAGGCCAUUACAGAGGGUGAGGAGCUCCAAGCUCAGACAGAGAUCAUAGUAGUAAGACUCUGGGAUACACUAGAUCCACAGGAGCCCCUGAAGGUUUUGGCCUCAAGUCCAUUUCCUGGAAAUGAGCAAGGCACAGUGGUAACACAAGUUCUGUACCUCCCAGGACACCGUGAUGGAAUUAUGCCAGAUACUGGAGCAGAGCCUGCAAACUGCAGGAAUGAGAGGCCACCCUCUCCUGCUGACUGUGAAGGUAGCAGACACUUUAAACUUGUAUGCAAUAAGCUGCUUCCAGGGAUUGACAGGUGACCUUUGUGGGAUCUCUCAGUGGUGCAUUGACAAAUUACACAGCGCUGCUUACCCAUGGACAAGGGAAACUCACUGCAGCCAUGACUCAUGACACCAACUAAGCUGACUGAUGCUCAGUACAGAUAUAAUGUCACCCAUUACCCAGCAAAUAGAUCCAGCUAUGAUUCCACAAAGGUACAGUAUCUAUUGAUUUAAAACAAUGGAGGUUUUAGUAUAUUGAUUGCAUUGUAAAUUAAUUAGAUAAUUGAUUCAUUAGCUUAAUUGAUACUCAAGUUUUGUGUCAAAUUUGGGCUAUGAAAUAAUUUUAAAGUGUCAAGUGGAAAAUGCAACAUCUUCUGAUACUGAAACUUAAAAAGCAGGAAGGCUCCAAGAUCAAUUCCUCAUCGAUGUUGAAUUUGUUAACUUCAAUCAAACAGCAGUGAAGACACUCCAACUGAUCUCAAUAACUGUAGAACUUAUGAAAUAGAAGUGGAAUAGGUCAUAAGACACUUUGUGUCUGCUCAUCUAUUCAAUAAGACCUGGUGGCUGACCUUUUACAUUAAUUUCAGUUUCCUGUUCUCUGGGUCAUGACCGAGUAACCUCUGUUGAUUGAACUACUAUUUAGUUCCAGCACUUCAUACUGGAAUGUCUAACAUUGUAUUUUUCCUGUUAUUUACAAGUAUUUGUCUUCCAAUCAUUUUUGCUAAGAAUUAUGGUAUAUCCAUUAUUGGAGUUGACUUAAUUAAUAACGAGAUGCUAUCAAUAUACUGAGAAGGCACUGUAGAUUAAACAGAGCGGACAGUGAGUAGUGUAGGAAGUUAAGUUACCCUGCUUUAAAAAAAAGUCAUGACAUAAUGUGUCAUGGCAAGAA